rnacentral:rRNA from 1 species
GACGAACGCUGGCGGCGUGCUUAACACAUGCAAGUCGAACGGUGAAGCGCCUUCCUUUUUGGUGGGUGUGGAUGAGUGGCGAACGGGUGAGUAACACGUGAGUAACCUGCCCCCUUCUUCUGGAUAACCGCAUGAAAGUGUGGCUAAUACGGGAUAUUCUGGGUCUGUCGCAUGAUGGGUCUGGGAAAGAUAUUGUUUCGGUGGGGGAUGGUCUCGCGGCCUAUCAGCUUGUUGGUGGGGUGAUGGCCUACCAAGGCGGUGACGGGUAGCCGGCCUGAGAGGGUGGACGGUCACACUGGGACUGAGACACGGCCCAGACUCCUACGGGAGGCAGCAGUGGGGAAUAUUGCACAAUGGGCGCAAGCCUGAUGCAGCGACGCCGCGUGAGGGAUGGAGGCCUUCGGGUUGUGAACAUCUUUCGCCAGUGAAGCAGGCCUGCCUCGUUUGUGGGUGGGUUGACGGUAGCUGGAUAAGAAGCGCCGGCUAACUACGUG